GAAUCACAAACAAAUCACUUUGGAGCCAGGCGCAGGAGAGGGGCUGCCUGCGAGUGACAAUGCCGUAAGGGAACAAACGGGAACAAACGCCGUUUGUUCCCAACUGGCUGCACUUCCGCCUCCUCCCCUUUCAUUCAGGACUCAGUGCUAGCGAUGCUCCCUCCAUCUCCAUGACAUGCUGCUUGCAAGUACUUUUAUCUGAGGAAAGCAGGCUGGAGAAAGCAUAUGAGCACAUGCUCCUGCCACUGGCUGGGCGCCAGCCCGGUACCUCCCCUCCAUCACAUGACCGCGUUUGAUUCAUGGCUCCAGCGUGUUUGUGAGCCCCGGGACGCGCUCACCAUCAAGUGCACGGACAGACGGCAAUCUACGGCUCGCAGGCGGUCCGUGAUGCUCCAAAAUCAAGCCACGUCUUUAUAAUUAAUCCCUGUGCAACUCCCUAAGUGUUCCCAGGAGACAGUUGCUGCCAGUUGGUCCACGUUCUGUGUUAUUUGGGCUCUAAAAACCCUUACACUGCCUGUGAGAAUGAAGUAUUGUUUUGUGUUCGGCCAGCUUCCUUUGGUGAGCUCAUCGUUAUCAGCAAGCGACACAAGUACCCCACCAGGGGUGCCUGGGUUGUGCUGCGCUGCCUUGCCCUGCAAAGGGCUGCCACACGUCACAGGGAAGGGAAAGCUUUUUGGGGCAGGUCUGAGAAAGGCUCUGAACUUCCUGUGGGGUUAGCUACACUGAAGUGGGGUUACCUGGGGUUACCUGUGGAUUAAUGAAUUCACUUGUGAAAUUCUUAUUGCAGUUUGUCUUUGCCUGUGUUUUUCUACAUCAUCUCACCAUACUCAAACUUCCCUGUACCACACUCUGUAUAUCAUAAAAGGUCUUACUUCUUAUUCGUUGCUUCUCCUGCGGUCUUUCUUCCACUUCCACGCUGUCCCAGCAUUGCUCGGUACUACACCUUGUAACUCUCCUCAUUUUCUGCACUUGACACCUCUGUAUACUUUGUGUGCUAUAUUGCUUCACUCCUGUGAUUUUGUGUGAUAAACACAAAAUUCCUUGAAAUUGAUGCAGUCACCAUCUCUGCACUGUAUCUAGAACCCAGACUCCUAGUAUGUGGUAUCCAGAAGGGGUUAGUACUGUGCCACCCAUUUAGUAACUGAUACUGCUCCUACCUGGCAAGCUGCUCCUAACCAGGCACAAUCCCUUUAGACAACAGGUAGAUUGACACCAGAGGCAUUAGCCCUCCUCAUUUCCAUACAGAGGCAAAUCAUCCCCAAGAGUAGAUCAGAAAGGGACUGUGGAGGCUUUCUGCAGCUCAUGCUCCCUGGUUGCAAUCCUGUGCACUUCCAAAGAAAAUGCCCAUUUGUGUUUGGCCUUUGCACUGUCCCUCCAGACCCACACAGGUUUAUUUUGUUUUCCUCCUCUCUUCUUCAACACAGGCCCUGCAAGCUCCUCAGCCCCUCUCACCACUGAGGAGAACAUCUGAGUCUUGGUAUAGUCUGAAUUCUACUAUUACUUUUCAGGAAAAUCUUACAGCUUCAAACAAGAGUACCAUAUGAGUAAGUGAAAGAGCCCAAUGGGAAGUAUAUAUUGCCCUGCUCAGCUUACUUCUCAGUGCAAUCCAUCUAAACCUUACUCAGCUGCAAGACAACCACACUGCGCUUAUAAAAAAAAAAAAGAAAAGAAAAAAGUUGAAUUGUGGAGUACUUCUGCACAUUUUACCAGGAGACAAUGAUUGCUUGGCACCAUUAAUGCUGUUAGAAAUUCAGCUCACCACGCCGCUAUUAUUCAGUGUCAUGGUAACAAUUUAGCAUGGCCACACAGCCUCACAUGUUCUGGAGUCUCUCCCCAUCCAUUUCAAAUGCACACUUAGAAACACUCAAAUCCACACCUCCCAACUUUCUUUCAAAGAAAUUCUAAAAAAUAAAAAUCAAGUGUUGCCCAGACCUAAUGUUUUAGGAAAACUUUUUCUUUCUUCUCCAAGAUGAAAUAAACCUUGAAUAAGGUGUUCUAGUAUUUUAUAUCUAUAGGAUAUAAAGGAUAUAUAUCCUUUACCCAACCCAAGCCAUUCUAUGAUAUAGCCUGUCUUACACAGCAUAUGGCUUUCAUACAAAGCACAGUGUUGUCACGAAACAUUUACUAUUUACAAAGAAAAGUUAAAUAUUUAAAUGCAUGAACUUCCAGGGAUCAAAAUGCAAGCAUCCAUAGAAAUACUGGAAGAAGGGAAAAAGCAAACCCUACAAAUCAGUAACAACUUUUCAGAUGAUUGUUCUUUUAUUUCCAAUCCAAACUUAGAUGAGAACUUUAGGUGUCUGUUUUUGAAGUUGCUCAUUUAACAGCAAACAGUUUACACUGAACUAGGUUUUUUUGUUGUUGUUGUUGUUGUUUGGUUGGUUGUUUUUUUUUUAAAUGGAAAAGCUUGUGUAAUCUUAUUUAUAAAAUUUGUUUUAACAGAACAAAUGGAAUUUAAAAUGGAUAAAAAAUGUGCUCAGAGAAGAAAUUGCCCAUCUUUCUAGGUAGCUUACCUCUAGUUAAAGCAGACUAAACAACUCUGAAGAGUGCUGUGUUCAGCUAUACCUCAGAUGUUUUGCCCGUGUAAAAAUAAGUAAGGACAAACAAAAUGUAUAACUCACCGUAGUCACCCGAAGAAGAAAAGCCAUCAAUAAAAUUCUGAAGGCAUUCAAAA